AGCAGCCGCGGUAAUUCCAGCUCCAAUAGCGUAUAUUAAAGUUGUUGCAGUUAAAAAGCUCGUAGUUGAAUUUCGGGAUCAAUAUGUUGGUCGUGCCUUGGUACGUACUGGCAUUAUCGAUUCCUACCUUCUGAAGAACCUCGAUGUCAUUAAUUUGGUGUCUUGGGGAAUCAGGACUGUUACUUUGAAAAAUUAGAGUGUUUAAAGCAGGCUCGCGCUUGAAUACAUUAGCAUGGAAUAAUGAAAUAGGACGUUUGAUUCUAUUUUGUUGGUUUCUAGGAUCGACGUAAUGAUUAAUAGGGAUAGUUGGGGGCAUUAGUAUUCAAUUGUCAGAGGUGAAAUUCUUGGAUUUAUUGAAGACUAACUACUGCGAAAGCAUUUGCCAAGGAUGUUUUCAUUAAUCAAGAACGAAAGUUAGGGGAUCGAAGACGAUCAGAUACCGUCGUAGUCUUAACCAUAAACUAUGCCGACUAGGGA
rnacentral:sRNA from 1 species